rnacentral:rRNA from 1 species
CUGCCUACGGGAGGCAGCAGUCGGGAAUAUUGCGCAAUGGAGGAAACUCUGACGCAGUGACGCCGCGCAUAGGAAGAAGGUUUUCGGAUUGUAAACUAUUGCCGUUAGGGAAGAUAAAAGACAGUACCUAAGGAGGAAGCUCCGGCUAACUACGUGCCAGCAGCCGCGGUAAUACGUAGGGAGCAAGCGUUAUCCGGAUUUAUUGGGUGUAAAGGGUGCGUAGACGGGAAUGCAAGUUGGUUGUGAAAUCCCUCGGCUUAACUGAGGAACUGCAACCAAAACUACAUUUCUUGAAUGCUGGAGAG